rnacentral:rRNA from 1 species
GAGAUGGAUUGGUGCCUUCGGGAACUGUGAGACAGGUGCUGCAUGGCUGUCGUCAGCUCGUGUUGUGAAAUGUUGGGUUAAGUCCCGCAACGAGCGCAACCCUUAUCCUUUGUUGCCAGCGGUCCGGCCGGGAACUCAAAGGAGACUGCCAGUGAUAAACUGGAGGAAGGUGGGGAUGACGUCAAGUCAUCAUGGCCCUUACGACCAGGGCUACACACGUGCUACAAUGGCAUAUACAAAGAGAAGCGACCUCGCGAGAGCAAGCGGACCUCAUAAAGUAUGUCGUAGUCCGGAUUGGAGUCUGCAACUCGACUCCAUGAAGUCGG